rnacentral:rRNA from 1 species
CAGGAUUAGAUACCCUGGUAGUCCACGCCGUAAACGAUGUCGACUUGGAGGUUGUGCCCUUGAGGCGUGGCUUCCGGAGCUAACGCGUUAAGUCGACCGCCUGGGGAGUACGGCCGCAAGGUUAAAACUCAAAUGAAUUGACGGGGGCCCGCACAAGCGGUGGAGCAUGUGGUUUAAUUCGAUGCAACGCGAAGAACCUUACCUGGUCUUGACAUCCACAGAACUUUCCAGAGAUGGAUUGGUGCCUUCGGGAACUGUGAGACAGGUGCUGCAUGGCUGUCGUCAGCUCGUGUUGUGAAAUGUUGGGUUAAGUCCCGCAACGAGCGCAACCCUUAUCCUUUGUUGCCAGCGGUCCGGCCGGGAACUCAAAGGAGACUGCCAGUGAUAAACCGGAGGAAGGUGGGGAUGACGUCAAGUCAUCAUGGCCCUUACGACCAGGGCUACACACGUGCUACAAUGGCGCAUACAAAGAGAAGCGACCUCGCGAGAGCAAGCGGACCUCAUAAAGUGCGUCGUAGUCCGGAUUGGAGUCUGCAACUCGACUCCAUGAAGUCGGAAUCGCUAGUAAUCGUGGAUCAGAAUGCCACGGUGAAUACGUUCCCGGGCCUUGUACACACCGCCCGUCACGCCAUGGGAGUGGGUUGCAAAAGAAGUAGGUAGCUUAACCUUCGGGAGGGCGCUUACCACUUUGUGAUUCAUGACUGGGGUGAAGUCGUAACAAGGUAACCGUAA